rnacentral:lncRNA from 1 species
AAGUGUACAACUUUCAGGGGAGUCUAUGCGGUGGAAGCUUCUAGCAGCGCCCUUGGAUUUAGCCCAGUUCCUCAUCGUCCUAGUCCAGAUGACAAAACCUGGGAACUGUUGGUGUUUGUCAGUUUAUGAUGCCUAUGUUGUCUAGACAGUCAAAAGGCAUGAAUGCAGUUGAAGAAGCUUCGAUUUGUAAAGGCAAUAUAUGGAAACUUACUGCAAGAUUCUAGAACUUCCCGCUACGUUUGUAGUUUGGGACUGUGCUUUAUGUAACAGAGUGAGUUGGAAUUAAACGGAC